AGCAACAUGGGGCAUCUUAGUCUUUUCAAGAAUUGUUCGUGCAUUUAGAAAAAUAGUCGCUCUGAUUCACUCUGAUAAUCUGAUUUUAUUACUGGGGGUUUAAGAUAAGAUUUUCCACAUCGACGAACGAAGUUAUAAAGUUUAUUCAUGGGUAAGGCGAAGGGUGGUUCAGUUUUCAUCAGGCUAGUCUCGGCUGCUGGGACUGGAUUCUUUUACGUGAAGCGAAAGAACCCACGAAAGAUGGUAGAAAAGCUCGAGUUCCGGAAGUACGAUCCUCGCGUAAACAAACAUGUACUGUUUACAGAGGCAAAGAUGAAGUAAGAAAGUGAGAAUCUCUUAGGCAGUAUGUUCUAACAGAGCCAGUAAAACAAGUUCCGAUGAAGAAUCACUGUUAUUCUGAUAAAUUUAGCGUCGCCAUUGCUUUUGGAUAUUGCAUUAGUCUUGCUUUUUUUUUUUAUCUAAUAACCAUAAUGGAAAUUGGUAUAGAGAAAUACAUCAAUAUUCUGACUGUUGGCCAAGUUAUUUGGCUGGGCAUCUUUUGUUGCGGAAAAGAUAGCUAGUAAUAUUGGAUUUUUGGAACAGAUUGGAUGCUUCCGUCCAAAGAUGGCGCUUUUUGAAUUUGAAAAAAUUGAUGUAUUGUGUUUAUGGAAACCUCUGUUAAAAAACUGAUGCGUCGUUUUUGGG